rnacentral:sRNA from 1 species
CGGGUUCCGGCUGCGUUGGGCUUGCGUGCGGCUCGCUAAGACUAUGGCGUCCGGGCCUCAUUCGACAGCUACUGCUGCCGCCGCCGCCUCAUCGGCCGCCCCAAGCGCGGGCGGCUCCAGCUCCGGGACGACGACCACGACGACGACCACGACGGGAGGGAUCCUGAUCGGCGAUCGCCUGUACUCGGAAGUUUCACUCACCAUCGACCACUCUCUGAUUCCGGAGGAGAGGCUCUCGCCCACCCCAUCCAUGCAGGACGGGCUCGACCUGCCCAGCGAGACGGACUUACGCAUCCUGGGCUGCGAGCUCAUCCAGGCCGCCGGCAUUCUCCUCCGGCUGCCGCAGGUGGCGAUGGCAACGGGGCAGGUGUUGUUUCAUCGUUUUUUCUACUCCAAAUCUUUCGUCAAACACAGUUUCGAGGUAAGCACAGCGGAGGCGGAUAAAAGGGAUUUCUUCAUCCGGAAAUGGGCAGAGUAAGGGUAGUGUCAGCAGCCAGCUUUUCCAGAAAGGGAGUGGUUUAGUUUAGGCCUUUGUACCUAGUUCUCACUCGCCAGGAAGUGGAAACCUUUAGAAUGUGGUUCAAAAUCGAUCCCGAGCCUAAGUGCUCUCUUAACGAGAAGUACAAUUUUCAACUAAAUGCAGAACUCCUGUAAGAUUGAGCUUCACUCUGGAACCAAAAUUAAGAUGAGUGAAACAACAAAAAGUAUAGUACUAGCAUAGCUGGUAGGCUAUGGCAUAGAGAUGUCCGCUCUAAUUUUACUAAAGGUUGUCCCACUUGUGUUCUAAAGUUUAUUCUUCAAAGUGAGUUUAAUCUAACAAUGGCUUUUGUGGCUCAUGGGUUCUUUCAGAUUGUUGCUAUGGCUUGUAUUAAUCUUGCAUCAAAAAUCGAAGAAGCACCUAGAAGAAUAA